UACGAAGGGGGCUAGCGUUGCUCGGAAUUACUGGGCGUAAAGGGCGCGUAGGCGGAUAUUUAAGUCGGGGGUGAAAGCCCAGGGCUCAACCCUGGAAUAGCCUUCGAUACUGGAUAUCUUGAGUUCGGGAGAGGUGAGUGGAACUCCGAGUGUAGAGGUGAAAUUCGUAGAUAUUCGGAGGAACACCAGUGGCGAAGGCGGCUCACUGGCUCGACACUGACGCUGAGGUGCGAAAGCGUGGGGAGCAAACAGG
rnacentral:rRNA from 1 species